AGGCCCUCUGAGGGUCAUCGUGGUCUGCACUGCCUGAAACUCGUAGCAGCAGUACACACAGCGACAACACAUACGUAGAGAAGAUCCACCGGUGGAGGGCCUUGCCGCGUUCCGCCCAGACUGUGUGCUACCGCCCUCCGCUCCUACGACCGCUACUCAGCAUGUCAGAGCUCGACAGUCUAAUUGACGAGCUUUUCCCUGAAAAGCACAACAACGAAUCUAACUGUGCCUCUGCUCCUGGACCGUCUCGCCGGCGGUCGGAGUGGGAUGAGGAGAGCGACGACGGCCAGGACAUCCGCAUGUUCACGGGCUCUAAGAUGCAUGCUCUGCAGCAGCGUAACCCAACCUCAGUCUCCUCCUCCCGUGCGGAUCCGUCCACCUCCGCGACAACAGUCGCCCCCACUCGCUGCUUAGCCGGGCACUCCUUCGAUGAGGAUGGUGACGCCGACGGCGACGUCGGUCAUGCCGUGGCUUCCCACAACGUACCUGGAGAAUUGGUUGAUAAGGAUCUGAGCGCGCGAUCGCUUACCCGCAUGUCGAAGCCCGUGCUCUUCCCGGUCCCGUUUCCGUCCCUCUCAGGCUCGGAGGGCUCCUACGCGUGUGCCUCGCGAUGCUAUCUCACGAACCUUGGAACACCCCUCAUCCGCGAUGCCGGCCACCCGACUUUGCAGCAGCUGCGCGCCAUCGCGGCGAAUGAGCAGGCGAGCCUGGACACCUCCCGCAUUCAAGCGAUGCUGCGGAAGGGCGCGUUUCACGCUGCUAUAGCGAAACUGGGCAAUGGCUGUCUGGAUCAUCACGGCGACUUUACGGUUGACGGAGGCUGCCCGAACAUUUUGUGUCGCCAGUGCAACUACAUGGUAGUGCGGCUUCAGGGCGCCGAGUGGGACGACGACGGCGUGAACUUGUACUUAACUUUGCGGAACUACUAUCCAGACUGGUGCCGUUUGGCGAGUGCGACGCCGGUGGGGGUGGAGGACGGUGCCGAGGCAUCCCGCGGCGUCCUGCGUUCGAGUUCGGCGGCGGCAGCCUACUGCUGCCAGUGCUCGUGGGUGACAGUGAGAAGUGCCAAGAUGGUCAUUGAAACUAGGCUGACAGACAUUACGAUGGCCAAACCUGCGAGGGAGGGGGAGCACCCGUUUGCCACCAAGUUGCCUCUGCCGCUUGGUGAAAAGCGACGACCGCCACUGUGGGUGUGUCACGGCCAUACGCAAUAAAAGGGGUCUGCGCGUGCUCGCGCUUGUGCUCUUGGUACGAGGAACAGGCGUGAGAGUGCUUGCCCACGAAAGAAGAGCAGAGUUGUGUUCUCCAGUGCCAAGACGCAUGCCGUGAGCGUGCAUGUUAGGGAAUCGUAUUUAGGUUUUUGUUUGUUGACGUGCUGCUGUCUCGGAGCUUUACCCCUCACCCUCCACCCCCAACCCGCCCCUCAACGAGAAGACACCAACACGCCUUUCGGAGCGCAUGAUGUGAUUGUGCUUUCUCUCCUUAUCCCAGGUCUGCCAAAGAAGGAGAAAAGAUGUUCACUACGGUGAGCCCCCUCCCCCCCCGCGCGCACCCAACUCUCACAUAGACACGCUGACACACACAAAAAGAAAAAAUUUGUCGCGCUCCGUGCGACGGGUUUCGAGCCUCCGCUGAAGGAGCACUGCAGAGCAUCUGACCGGCCUUGGCAUGCUACUUCUUGGGAUAUGCAUGUUUUUACGCCCAAGUGUAGCGAUUGGCCGGCCAGUGAGAAGCAACGACAAAACGCGCGAUGUUCUCAAGCAAUUUGAAGGAGAGAGGGGAGAGAGGUGGAUGAGGCAGCUUCCCUCCACACACACACACACACACGCACCCCCUCCUGGUCCCUCCCAGAACCUCGGCUCUGACACAUGAGCUGCAAGUCUGUCCCAGUCCUCUGCUGGCGCGUGUACCCCCACCCUCACCGAGGGCUCACCUGUGUUGCGUGUUUCGUUCUUCCUUUCCGAGCGUGCACUCGGACAUCCUUCUCUCGCCUCUGGCUCUGCCCUCCCCUCACGCACUUGCCUUCUGCGCCGCUCACGGCUAUGUUCUUCUCAUUCGGCCAAUGCCCGUACUGGCUUUUCGCACACAUACACACGCGGUGAACGAGCUCCUCAG
rnacentral:misc_RNA from 1 species